GGGCCGCUGCGCAACCGCACUGGAGCGGCUUCUCGCGCUGCCGUCUUCGCGCAGGUGCGUCGCCCUCUCUCCACGUCCACGGCGCCGAGUCUCGCCGCGGUGGCGCAGGCGCCAGGAAGGUUCCCCGGCUUUGCUGCGCGGAGGAAGUCCCGGUUACGCAGAGCGCGCUGGGGCAGGGCUGACCUUCCCCUUUCUCUACUUGACUGGCGUCCUCCAGACGUGGUGGUUGCGCCCUUUCGGCCUCGCUUUCCGUUUCUUGGCUUCAUCCCCUAGAUCUGCAAACAGUUCUUCGUGUUUCUUCCGUUAGCCGGGAAACGCGAAGUGCAGCGUUUGGAACCCGGGUUUGCGCGUGUGGAAAGCAAGAAGCGGGUUACUCUGCUGGAGUUCGACAUUGCAAAUAAAGGUCUUUAUCCUCAGCGGUUCUACAAAAUUAGUUCCGCAGGGAUACUGGUUGAAAGAAGCGUUGAAGUGGGCCCUGUAGGAGUCAGCAAUAAUACAAUUUUAUAUGGGUGCAGAUGGCUCCCUGUGUCUAGCGCUUUCACACAUCUCAUAUCUCCAUCCACGCCGUGGGUAUCUUUUUUCCACGGUGUGUUUCUGUUGCUGCCUCCAGUGUAUUGCUUCAUCACCCUACCUGGUAAUUAUGCAUUUUUCUCCUAUUCUCGACUCAGCUCCUAGGGGAUAAAAACACACUAACUUAUCUUUUUGCCCACAGCACCCACCAAGUAUUUCCAUCACGUAAUACUGCCUCUAGAAAGGCAGGAGGAGAAGCAGUCACGCUAAGGAUCUAGGCAAGCCAGAUCUUUUGUCCUGUUUUAGGAGGUGGCCAGCCCUUACUUAUUCCACAAGUGUUUUUCCAGAAACUCAGACUUGUUAUUGCCCCAAGUCCAAGGCAGUGUGCUUCUCCCACUCACAUAUCACUAAUAGUAGCUAACAUUUGUUCAGAUCCCUGUAUGUACUCUGCCACUGUUUUAAAUGUUACACCCGCGUUACCUCAUUUAAUCCUUACAACUGCCCUGUGAGGUAGGUAUAAUUAUUAUCUCUACUUUGUAGAUGGGAUUCACCGAGGCACAGAUGGUUAAAAAACCUAGCCCAAAUCACACAAAUAAGCAGCAGAGCUGGGAUUCAAACCCAGGUAUGUAGUGCUAGAGUCUGCAUUCUUAACAAUUGCUAUAUUCUCCCUCUCCGUGAAUGUGGGCUGAGAUGCUGAAACAGGCAUGUGCUGUGGGGGAGAAAAAGCUUUGUCCAACCAAGUGCUUUCUAAUGUCCAGAUGACAUAGAGCUAGGAUUUCCUAAUGCCUUUUUUCGCCUAUUUUUCUCUCCAUUUCAGGAUUGAGUUUGUGCACCGAUUGUGAACACAACAGGCAGCAAGCUAUAGUGGUGGUCCUGGCUGGAGUAGUUUUCACAGACUGCAGUAAUCUGUGGAGAUGAACUGGCAGUUCUCUGUAGUUUUCACAGAUCACUGCCAGUUCGUUUUGAGGCCUUCAGGAGUGAAGACCUGGCUCAUCAUUACUCUUUGUUGUUUUGUUAAAGUUAUUUACACCCUACUUUAUUCCAGAGGAAAGGAUUUAACGUAGUUUACAUAAAUGUGUACAGCAGGGUAAAUUAAAAAUAAGUACAGAGAAAAAUAGGACAAAAGAAAACCGUGAGUGUGAAAGAUAAGAUUAAGCCAGCAGUUUUGUAUGCAAAAUGCAUGGUGUAAGGUCCUAUUGGUUUGCUGGAGGUAGGCCACACAUAUGACUGUCAGUUUGCUAGCAACCAAGAAAAAGAUCAGUUGCAAGUGGAGUAGGUGUUUUGGCUAAGCUGGAACUAGGACUUGAAUAUAGCAGCUUGUAGAGUUACGCCACUUGCCCAAAUCUCUUCCAUGAGCCUCUUUAAGUGUAACAGAAUGCUUGGGAGCACGUAAAUAGGUGCCUACUUAGCCUCUAAUUUUCAUGGGGCCCAUGAAUCCCAUGAAAAAGAACUUCAAACCCUGUCCACAAUUAGAGUUCAAGUAUAUGCAGACAUGUUUAAAGGACAAGGGACACCCAAAGGAAAGAUUGCACAGAGAGAAAGCGAGCAUCCGAGAGAAAAUCACCACAAGUGAGGCAGAGGGAGGCCGGUCUCAGCAGAGUUUUGGAGGUCGUGAGAAGAAGAGGUAGGAGAUAGGAGAGUGGUUCUGAGUACUUGCCUGCUGAUGUUACCUUCUCCACCCCCACCAGGUUUUCCAGUGCCUAGAGUCUUGGGCAGGAAUGGGCCACUGUAAGAAAGAGCUUUAUCACUAGGGGCUCAGCCAACUUUUCUGUGGGAUGUCCCUCCAAAAUAAUUAAGAGUUCAGAAUGCUUCAGAUUUUGAAGUGAAACUGGUACAUAUAUUAAGUGUUACUUAAUAACCCGAUAGUUUCUAAGGCAGCUCACCAUAAUCCCAAACAUUAGCCACCACCCUCACCCCCUUCAGAGUAAAAUGUGUUUACUGAAAGAAGUUGGGAAAAUGAAGAAAAAAAAUAUAAAAAUCACCUGUAAUCUUACCAGUCAUAGAUGGCAGUUUUCCUGCCUUAUUUCUGAAUAAUGGUUGUUAAACAUUUACCAGCACACCAUAAGGCUUAGGGAGGCAUCUGGGUCAUGCAUGUUAAUAUCCUUGGGUAAUUCUAGAAAUGUCUAUGAAGGGAAACUCCUGUUCUUUAUCUAGAUUUCCUGAUUGCAAGGGGUUUGGGCAUCAUGAUUUAGGGGUCUUAAUAAAAUUAUUAUUUAAUUUUUUACUAAUAGGUAAUGUCUGUGCCUAUCAGAUAAAGGCAAACCAGUGUUCAGAGGAACCCAACCAUCUCUGUAUUGAGACCAGAGAGCUGUCUCUAUGUAUUGUCCUUAAAGAAGGCAUUUUGGAACACAGUAAACAGCAGCCUGGUGACUCCGAUUACAGGACCAGUUGCCUUUGUUACAAUAAAAGCAAGUCAUCUACACAGGUAAGAAUGUUUCUCUUUUAUUGCUUCCCCCCGCCCCCAUCCUGCUCACUGAAACGGAUACCAGGAAAAACUGUUUGGUGAAGGAAAGUAUACAAUAUGUGAAUAUUUGUUUCAAAUAAAACAGUGUACUGUAAA